rnacentral:rRNA from 1 species
GCGAGCGUUGUCCGGAAUUAUUGGGCGUAAAGAGCUCGUAGGCGGCCUGUUGCGUCCGCUGUGAAAGCCCGGGGCUUAACCCCGGGUCGGCAGUGGAUACGGGCAGGCUAGAGGUAGGUAGGGGAGAAUGGAAUUCCCGGUGUAGCGGUGAAAUGCGCAGAUAUCGGGAGGAACACCGGUGGCGAAGGCGGUUCUCUGGGCCUUACCUGACGCUGAGGAGCGAAAGCGUGGGGAGCGAACAGG